rnacentral:rRNA from 1 species
GUCUUUUUGUUAAUAAUUUAAAGUUUAAUCUGCCCACUGAAAUUUUUAAAGGGCUGCAGUAUAUUGACUGUACAAAGGUAGCAUAAUCAUUAGUCUUUUAAUUGAAGACUUGUAUGAAUGAUUUGAUGAGAUAUAAACUGUCUUUUGUUUAAUAAUAGAAUUUAAUUUUUUAGUUAAAAAGCUAAAAUUUUUUUAAAAGACGAGAAGACCCUAUAGAGUUUAAUUUUUUAAUUUUUAUUAAUAUUUUAUAAAAUUUAUGAUUAGUAAAAAUUAAAAAAUUUUGUUGGGGUGAUAGAAAAAUUUAUUAAACUUUUUUUUAAAAAUUAACAUUAAUUUAUGAUUGGUUGAUCCAUAAUUUAUGAUUAAAAGAUUAAAUUACCUUAGGGAUAACAGCGUAAUUUUUUUUUUUAGUUCAUAUAAAAAUUAAAGUUUGCGACCUCGAUGUUGGAUUAAGAUAAAAUUUAAAUGCAAAAGUUUAAAAUUUUGAUCUGUUCGAUCAUUAAAAUCUU